CGCAAUGGACGAAAGUCUGACGGAGCAACGCCGCGUGAGUGAUGAAGGUUUUCGGAUCGUAAAGCUCUGUUGUUAGGGAAGAACAAGUGCAAGAGUAACUGCUUGCGCCUUGACGGUACCUAACCAGAAAGCCACGGCUAACUACGUGCCAGCAG
rnacentral:rRNA from 1 species